CAGUCGGAUUUCAGUCACAGAUGGGUCAUUUAGGAUGACGCUAGAAAGAUGGUGCUGCAGUUGUAACCAUAGGCCCGUUUCCAUUGUGACCCGGCUCGUCAGUACUCUGAGCGGGGGAGACACGAACAAAAGCAGAAGGUUGUGGUGGUCGGGAUCCCGAACCCCUUCAUCUGGAUCCGAACCCACAUCUACCUCUUCCUUAUCUGAGCUUCACGGAAGGAGCCACACAGUUCGAGGCCCUUGAAGGAUUAGUAGCUAAAGAUCUAAUAGGGAAACUUGAGGAAAAAUGCGCUCAGUUGUCUUUGAGCCACCAGAGGGCGCUGUCAGCUGAGUCUGAUGAGAUCAUGCACACAACAACAGGAGAUGUGGGCAUUCAAUAUGAUGACAGUGUGAUGAGUGCCAGACUUCCUGAUGAGAAUAUGGAGGGAGCAAGGAAAUUCCAGGUUGUCAUUGGUGGAGAGGGAGAGAGACCAGAGACCAAGAGAUUGCUGACAGCCAAUUAUGAAUUCCAAAGGGAGUUUACCCAAGGUGUGACUUCAGAUUGGAUCAUCAUGAGGAUAAAGCACUCAAAACUUCAUGACUAAGUGUGACUGUAGAGGGUUUUUUUUUCAUGCUUUUUUAUUGCUCAUAAUGCCAAAACAUGUAGGGUCAAUUCACUAACCUUUACUGGAAAAAAUAACGCUGAAAUAUUGUCAGCUCCAGGUGCUUCCCAGGUGCUAUGGAAGGUUAUAAAUGUUGAUUUGCUGUAUGCUUCAGUGCGUUUCAUCUCACUGAUUUUACAUUCUUAACGUUGUUUUUUUUUACACUUUGUAUGAUGAGUUUUGGGGUGAAGCUGACUGCACAUUGUGCAAACUGCAACUGAACUGUAAAACUAUACAAGAAAAGUCAGGAGGAAAAAAAAGCAAUUCUUUAAAGCCACAAAGACCACUGCCUGGAUACUUUGAAAGACAGACUUAUACAGAAUGAUGAACUGACCAAUAAGUUAUGUAACGUUUUAUCAAAACCUCCAUGUUAUGUGAAACAUUGUGCAUAAAACAACAUGAUGUAAUAAAAAUCAUGAUUAAUAAAAAAUAUUAUUUAA